UUCUGCCUUUCUAAGGGAGAGGCUGGUGUUCAGGAUACAAGGGUUGUCGGACUACGGGGGAAGAAGGGAGUGAAAGGCAUCCGAGGGGAUAAGGGCGAUCGAGGAGAGGUGGGGCCUAUGGGAACACAGGGAGUGACAG